rnacentral:rRNA from 1 species
UCGAGGAUCUUCGGCAAUGGGCGCAAGCCUGACCGAGCGACGCCGCGUGUGCGAUGAAGGCCUUCGGGUUGUAAAGCACUGUCGAGGGGGAGGAAGCCGCAAGGUUGACCUAUCCCUGGAGGAAGCACGGGCUAAGUUCGUGCCAGCAGCCGCGGUAAGACGAACCGUGCAAACGUUGUUCGGAAUCACUGGGCUUAAAGGGCGCGUAGGCGGAUUGCCAAGUCUGUGGUGAAAGCCCCCGGCUUAACCGGGGAAGUGCCGUGGAUACUGGCGAUCUCGAGGAGGGUAGGGGCAUCUGGAACGUUGGGUGGAGCGGUGAAAUGCGUUGAUAUCCAACGGAACUCCGGUGGCGAAGGCGAGGUGCUGGACCCUUUCUGACGCUGAGGCGCGAAAGCCAGGGGAGCAAACGGGAUUAGAUACCCGUGUAGUCC